rnacentral:rRNA from 1 species
AACGAGCGCUGGCGGCAUGCCUAACACAUGCAAGUCGAACGAGACCUUCGGGUCUAGUGGCGCACGGGUGCGUAACGCGUGGGAACCUGCCCUUAGGUUCGGAAUAACUCCCCGAAAGGGGUGCUAAUACCGGAGAAUGUCUUCGGACCAAAGAUUUAUCGCCUUUGGAUGGGCCCGCGUUGGAUUAGCUAGUUGGUAGGGUAAAAGCCUACCAAGGCGACGAUCCAUAGCUGGUCUGAGAGGAUGAUCAGCCACACUGGGACUGAGACACGGCCCAGACUCCUACGGGAGGCAGCAGUGGGGAAUAUUGGACAAUGGGCGAAAGCCUGAUCCAGCAAUGCCGCGUGAGUGAUGAAGGCCUUAGGGUUGUAAAGCUCUUUUACCCGGGAUGAUAAUGACAGUACCGGGAGAAUAAGCUCCGGCUAACUCCGUG